GAGGCGGGGCUAGAGCGAGGAUCCCGAGAGAGCGCCGGGGUGGGGCUGGUUCGUAGAAAUGAAAAAUGACUUUUUUUUUAAAUGUGUUUUUUUACCAAGCACACUAAACUCUUAAGCCCACAGAUACAGCCAAAUAAAUUAGAUUAUAAAAGUAGGGAAAUAAGGCUGCUGUGGUCUACAUUCGAAUUUAGCAAAUCAAAACCCCGUGGUUUUGUUUUAGAAAAUUCUAAAAAGCAUCUUUCCACUGCUAAUGACUUAUUUCCAGGGACUCUGAGUACUGAAGAGCCUAGCAAGUUAUUGAAAUGACCUGUGAACGUGCCUUGUUGCAGAUAUACCCGAAGUGAGCAUAGAUUUUACUGGAUAAUUUUUGUGAUUGGAAAAAAAAAAAAAACAGGGCUCUUUCUAAAUUUAGUAAAUCUAAUCUUCUAUAGCUGAGAUUGUUGGCCACGAAAGAUCAGUUUCUGAGAUUGUUUAGGGAUUUUUUUUUCUUUUUAAUUAGCACAGUUGUAUGUUGCCUUUCGUGAUGGUUCCAGAAGGCCUAGAAUUAUCUACUACAAUCACAGUUUCCUUCACAAUUUAUGGUCCUGAAAAAAUACCAGAGAACACCUUACCGUUCAGGAUUGUGGGAAGAAAACCAGAUCAUAGAAAUCAACAACAAUAAUAUUGUGAAGUUGGCAUGAGCCCAGCUCCUGAUGGAUAGACCUAUGGCUGACUAUGAGAAAAGAUGUCUGAAGGAUGGCCCAGAUAGCAAAACAAAUAAACCAGUAAGCAAACAAAUGGGGGAGCCCUGGAGUUGGACCAACUGUCUAUAAAUCCAGGCUCUGCUACCUACUCGAUGUGGGAUGAUCCUGUGGACAUUGCUUACAUUUUUUUUACCACUUUACUGGCUUCAUUUAUAAAAGGUAUCCUAAUGUAAUGUACUACAAGAGAUUAAAACAAAAAACUUACCAGCAA